rnacentral:rRNA from 1 species
UGGCGACCGGCGCACGGGUGCGUAACGCGUAUGCAACCUACCUUUAACAGGGGGAUAACACUGAGAAAUUGGUACUAAUACCCCAUAAUAUCAUAGAAGGCAUCUUUUAUGGUUGAAAAUUCCGGUGGUUAGAGAUGGGCAUGCGUUGUAUUAGCUAGUUGGUGGGGUAACGGCUCACCAAGGCGACGAUACAUAGGGGGACUGAGAGGUUAACCCCCCACACUGGUACUGAGACACGGACCAG